UCAGACGAUGCGUCAUGCAUAUCAAUAAGCGGAGGAAAAGAAACUAACAAGGAUUCCCCUAGUAACGGCGAGUGAAGCGGGAAGAGCUCAAAUUUGAAAUCUUAAAGGGUUUCCCUUUACGAAUUGUAGUUUAAAGAAGUGUUUUCUGUUGAGGUUUUGGUAAAAGUUCUUUGGAAUAGGACAUCAUAGAGGGUGAGAAUCCCGUAUUUGACCUUUACUUUCAACUUUGUGAUACACUUUCAAAGAGUCGGAUUGUUUGGGAAUGCAGUCCAAAAUGGGUGGUAAAUUUCAUCUAAAGCUAAAUAUUGGCGAGAGACCGAUAGCGAACAAGUACCGUGAGGGAAAGAUGAAAAGAACUUUGAAAAGAGAGUUAAACAGUACGUGAAAUUGUCAAAAGGGAAGCGUUUGACACCAGUGUUGUUUUUCUGAAAAUCAAUUAAAGAACUGUUUAUGCUAAGUUGUUUAGACUUUAUCAGCUAACUGUUUAGCUUUGAGCUUUUCUUUAAUGCACUUUUCAGUUAACAAGUCAACAUCAAUUUCUUUUGCUGUAAAAAAGCUUGAGGAAGGUGGCUUGAGAUUCGUCUUAAGUGUUUAUAGCCUCUUGCCUAUGCAGUCGGAGAGAUUGAGGUCUGCAGCGUAGAUCCUUCGGGGCUAAAUGCAUUUGUGCUAAGUUAUAGCAUUUCAUAGACAACUUGUUGACUAUGAUUUGUCUUGUAGCUUACUCGCUUAUGUUAUUUUACCUACGCUUAGGAUGUUGAAUCUGUGCGAGACUAC
rnacentral:rRNA from 1 species